UACGUAGGGUGCGAGCGUUGUCCGGAAUUAUUGGGCGUAAAGAGCUCGUAGGCGGUUUGUCGCGUCGGGAGUGAAAACACGGGGCUUAACCCCGGGCCUGCUUCCGAUACGGGCAGACUAGAGGUAUGCAGGGGAGAACGGAAUUCCUGGUGUAGCGGUGAAAUGCGCAGAUAUCAGGAGGAACACCGGUGGCGAAGGCGGUUCUCUGGGCAUUACCUGACGCUGAGGAGCGAAAGUGUGGGGAGCGAACAGG
rnacentral:rRNA from 1 species